ensembl:snRNA U4 U4 spliceosomal RNA
AGCUUUGCGCAGUGGCAGUAUCGUAGCCAAUGAGGUCUAUCCGAGGCAUGAUUAUUGCUAAUAGAAACAGGAAAAUUUUUUUAAUAAAUCCUCACCUUGGUCUUCACAGGAACCACAAGGACAACAUUCUCAAUG